CAAUACCCCAUAUUCAAAUAUAAAUAGCACGAAGUAUCUAUAGAAUGCAAUGUGUUUGAUAUGCAAAUGGCCACUACAAAGGUUCCUGCUUUCACAGUGAUAUUUUUACUGGCAUUUUUCAUCCUUACAUCAGAUAUGUGCAUAAAAUUAGAAGGAAGGAGAGUGGAUGGAACACAACCUUGUAAGUAUGAUGCAGAUUGUCAACCUGGAUGUCCUUCUGGUCAAAAGGGAUGUUGCAUUCGUGGGAGGUGUUGGUGUUAUUCUCCACCAGUUUCUGCUAAUAACAUUCCUGGUGGAACAUCCCAAGAUGCAAUUUGUUUUGCAAACUAGAUAAUACAAAAUGGUUCUUCAAGUGUUGUAAAAUUCAACAAACUAAUGUCAUGCAAUUAUAUUAUGUAUGAAUACAUUUUUUAAUAAAGAUAAUAUAUUGUUUUA